AAAAGUUUAUUUCCAACUUGUUUAAAAACAUAGUUUCUUUAGUUUCAAAUAAAUUUAUACGUUAGCUUAGUAUGAGCUUGCCGCAUUUCUGCGACACGUAUUAACUUUCAUACUUCAGAGAUACGAUUCAAAACAUAAUUAUUGAAAGCGGAGGAACAAAAGGGAUAGAGGAUUUUUACGGGGUGCGAUUUGUCGUCGCGUCGGGAAACCGCCCGCGCCAUCGGACGUCGUGUCGUUGUACUAUCGACCGUAAUAUCGUCCUCGUCGUCGUCCGUCGUCGCGACUUCACCCCCCUGCUCGAGCUCCGCCGGGACGGCUCGGUUCAGCUCAGCUCGGCGUAGCUCGGCGGAGCUUGAAGCGCCAUCGAAGAUGGCGACCGGAGGGUAGGGUCGGGUCGGAGACGCGGACGGCAAGGCAACCUCUUCCCCGGGUGGAGACGGCCGUGACGGAUAUCGGGGCGAGCCGCCCGCCCGCUCGUGUCGAAGUCGCUCCGAUGGUGGUGGGUUACUCCGAUUUUCCGGUAAUUCAGGAAUAGAAGUCGGCAUAUGCAGUAGCUAAAAAACAUAUUAACAUACAAACGCACAUAUUAAUGCACAAACUCACGCUCGUUUUUCCUUUCGAUAUCGAAAUAGCGAUUAACGCGCCAAUAUUCAUACUUUCUUUACUCGUCAACAUCUAGUCAGAAAGAUAGAAAGAAGAAAGAAGAUACAAUUCGGCGAAAAAAGAAGCCUUCGAUUGAGAUAAGGGUCGACACAUACGAGUAACCGAAACCAAACCAAAGCGUAUAAAUAUAGAACGAAGAUAACCGAGCUGAUUCACACAGAGGAAUCUCGACGGUCAUCCUUUUCACGAGGCGUUGCGCGGUGAUAUCAUACCAAAGAAAAAUCGAUCCUAUACUAAGUUCCUGUCUACUCCAACUAUAUCAGCUGUAAUGGAGUAACGAGAUACAAAAGCGAACAAUCGAUCAUUCGAGAUCAAAUCUGAAAAAAUCGAUCGUGGAGCCUUUUUAUCAAUAUUGAAUUAAUUAGAUAAGAUAAUUAAGAACCGACAGAUUUAAUCGCGCGAAGUAUCAUACAAGUGUCAUUAAAGUAAUAGAGAUUAUGCUUAAGUGCAGCAAAUAAAAAAAAAAAAUUUAUUUAGAUUAGCUGAGAAAGCAUCUUGAAAAAGCGAUCGAUAUUAUUGCGAAAUGCGUUGGACGUUAUCGAUCUGAUGUGGAACGACGACUCGAAAAUUGCGACGGGUUGAUCGAGUUCCCCGGUAACAUCGAUGCGGUGUUGGUCGGUCGAGUCAGCGUUUCCAAUUCAGCGACCGCAGGAAAUGACAUGUGCGAAAGGACUGUCUUUCACUAAAAGGACGGUCCAUCGUAGUCUCUGCAAGAGUUGAUGGGACGGACAAGCAGAGGACGAACGCAAAACGCACAUUGCUGAUUUCUAUGGUCCGUUCAAGCGUCGCUCUAGAGAUUGAAAACCACGUCAAAGAUAAAAUCCCGAAAGGCUCGAGGAAAAAUUAACAAUCGAUUGACGAAGCGAGAAUUGAAGUUGUCAAUAAUUUAUACACAGAAAGAACAACAGCUUCUAAAUAAACGCAGUCUCUAGAGAGACUCGAACGCUUAUACUUUAAAAUCAAUGAGAACCAAAGACGAGAUAAGCCGCGCUGUACAUUUCGAAUGCGUGAUCUUAUUCGGGAAUCUCCAAGACAAAUUAGCUUCGAAGUAAAGUAGACGACGAUAAAUGUUGCGAUGAGUAGGCGAAUGACAGGGUGAAAAAGGUGAGAGGUCACAGACAUAAGAAAGGAAGGGUUGCGGUGAUAGCCGUGCGAAGGGAGGCCGAGGACUCGUCUGGAAGAACGCGGAAAGAGCGACGGAGUGGCGGAAGCGAGGGCUUUCAGUGAGCAAGAGAGAGAGAG